AAUGAUCAUGGGGGUCUUCAUUAAUUGAUCCUGAGAAGGGUCGAUUCCAAACCAUGGCUUUAAAGCAGUGGUGGAGUUCAUGGCCAGAUGAAGGAUAUAUUUUUUCGGAAGCAAAAAGUGGCUCAGAGAACUCACCCCUAUAUGAACGAUUUUGAAUAGAGAUGCUUUGAAGGGAAAGCUUCUCCAUGGGUGGGGGCUAAAGGUAGAAGAAAGAAAAUUUAAAAGGUAGGAGGAGGACUAGGCACGAAGAUAGAUACAACAACCGUUCCUUAGCAACAGCGCCAGAAAGCUUGUUGGUAUAACUAAGGAAUGUGAAUAAAUCCACAAGCAUAUGGAUACCAUUGUAGCUUUCACCUCAGAGUAUUCCAAGGGUAUCAAAUCCAAGGGAACGUGUGUGCACUAAUUUCUAUUCUAGUCGGUCCAAGGAUACACCAAGAUAGGUGGCGAGGGUAGAGAGGAUUCCUAUAGGUAGCACUUGAGGCAAGUUAAAGGUCAAUCUCUCGAUUAAAGAUACUCGCUUCAGGCACUGACUUAACCUUGGUAUGCCAGGCAACUCCGGCUAGCAGCUCUACGCUAUACCCAAACAUGGAGGAUUACAAAGGACCAAUAGGGUUGUCACCAUCUAUGGCCUACCUCUAGCAAUCCAUGGG
rnacentral:lncRNA from 1 species